rnacentral:rRNA from 1 species
UCGAACGAUGAUGCCCAGCUUGCUGGGUGGAUUAGUGGCGAACGGGUGAGUAACACGUGAGUAACCUGCCCCUGACUCUGGGAUAAGCGUUGGAAACGACGUCUAAUACUGGAUAUGAUCACUGGCCGCAUGGUCUGGUGGUGGAAAGAUUUUUUGGUUGGGGAUGGACUCGCGGCCUAUCAGCUUGUUGGUGAGGUAAUGGCUCACCAAGGCGACGACGGGUAGCCGGCCUGAGAGGGUGACCGGCCACACUGGGACUGAGACACGGCCCAGACUCCUACGGGAGGCAGCAGUGGGGAAUAUUGCACAAUGGGCGAAAGCCUGAUGCAGCAACGCCGCGUGAGGGAUGACGGCCUUCGGGUUGUAAACCUCUUUUAGUAGGGAAGAAGCGAAAGUGACGGUACCUGCAGAAAAAGCACCGGCUAACUACGUGCCAGCAGCCGCGGUAAUACGUAGGGUGCAAGCGUUGUCCGGAAUUAUUGGGCGUAAAGAGCUCGUAGGCGGUUUGUCGCGUCUGCUGUGAAAUCCCGAGGCUCAACC